UCCGGCAGAGCGGAAGCGGCGGCGGGAGCUUCCGGGAGGGCGGCUCGCAGGCACCAUGACUCCUGUGAGGAUGCAGCACUCCCUGGCAGGUCAGACCUAUGCCGUGCCCUUCAUCCAGCCAGACCUGCGGCGAGAGGAGGCCGUCCAGCAGAUGGCGGAUGCCCUGCAGUACCUGCAGAAGGUCUCUGGAGACAUCUUCAGCAGGUAGAGCAGAGCCGGAGCCAGGUGCAGGCCAUUGGAGAGAAGGUCUCCUUGGCCCAGGCCAAGAUUGAGAAGAUCAAGGGCAGCAAGAAGGCCAUCAAGGUGUUCUCCAGUGCCAAGUACCCUGCUCCAGGGCGCCUGCAGGAAUAUGGCUCCAUCUUCACGGGCGCCCAGGACCCUGGCCUGCAGAGACGCCCCCGCCACAGGAUCCAGAGCAAGCACCGCCCCCUGGACGAGCGGGCCCUGCAGGAGAAGCUGAAGGACUUUCCUGUGUGCGUGAGCACCAAGCCGGAGCCCGAGGACGAUGCAGAAGAGGGACUUGGGGGUCUUCCCAGCAACAUCAGCUCUGUCAGCUCCUUGCUGCUCUUCAACACCACCGAGAACCUGUAUGGCCAGAGGGCAGGGCCGAGGGGUGUGGGCGGGAGGCCCGGCCUGGCUUAGUGGGGACCCAGGGCAUCAGACACAGGUACAGCACAUAGGCCAGGAGCCAGGGGGUGACGGGUGGCUCGGCUCGGGAGGCCUGGGACCCCACAGUGCACGCUGUGCCCCUGAUGAUGUGGGAGAGGAACAUGGGCUCAGGACAGCGGGUGUCAGCUUGCCUGACCCCCAUGUCGCCUCUGUAGGUAGAAGAAGUAUGUCUUCCUGGACCCCCUGGCUGGUGCUGUAACAAAGACCCAUGUGAUGCUGGGGGCAGAGACAGAGGAGAAGCUGUUUGAUGCCCCCUUGUCCAUCAGCAAGAGAGAGCAGCUGGAACAGCAGGUCCCAGAGAACUACUUCUAUGUGCCAGACCUGGGCCAGGUGCCUGAGAUUGAUGUUCCAUCCUACCUGCCUGACCUGCCCGGCAUUGCCAACGACCUCAUGUACAUUGCCGACCUGGGCCCCGGCAUUGCCCCCUCUGCCCCUGGCACCAUUCCAGAACUGCCCACCUUCCACACUGAGGUAGCCGAGCCUCUCAAGACCUACAAGAUGGGGUACUAACACCACCCCCACCGCCCCCACCACCACCCCCAGCUCCUGAGGUGCUGGCCAGUGCACCCCCACUCCCACCCUCAACCGCGGCCCCUGUAGGCCAAGGCGCCAGGCAGGACGACAGCAGCAGCAGCGCGUCUCCUUCAGGUGGGAGCAGCUCUUUGAGGCCACCUGAUUUCUGGCGUGCUCAGUGCACUCGGGUGGAUUUUCUGUGGGUUUGUUAAGUGGUCAGAAAUUCUCAAUUUUUUGAAUAGUUUCCAUUUCAAAUAUCUUGUUCUACUUGGUUCAUAAAAUAGUGGUUUUCAAACUGUAGAGCUCUGGACUUCUCACUUCUAGGGCAGAGGGAGCCUGAACAAGUGAGGCUCUGGGUUCCCCAUUCCUAAUUAAACCAAUGGAAAGAAGGGGUCUAAUAACAAACUACAGCAACACAUUUUUCAUUUCAGCUUCACUGCUGUGUCUCCCAGUGUAACCCUAGCAUCCAGAAGUGGCACAAAACCCCUCUGCUGGCUCGUGUGUGCAACUGAGACUGUCAGAGCAUGGCUAGCUCAGGGGUCCAGCUCUGCAGGGUGGGGGCUAGAGAGGAAGCAGGGAGUAUCUGCACACAGGAUGCCCGCGCUCAGGUGGUUGCAGAAGUCAGUGCCCAGGCCCCCACACACAGUCUCCAAAGGUCCGGCCUCCCCAGCGCAGGGCUCCUCGUUUGAGGGGAGGUGACUUCCCUCCCAGCAGGCUCUUGGACACAGUAAGCUUCCCCAGCCCUGCCUGAGCAGCCUUUCCUCCUUGCCCUGUUCCCCACCUCCCGGCUCCAGUCCAGGGAGCUCCCAGGGAAGUGGUUGACCCCUCCGGUGGCUGGCCACUCUGCUAGAGUCCAUCCGCCAAGCUGGGGGCAUCGGCAAGGCCAAGCUGCGCAGCAUGAAGGAGCGAAAGCUGGAGAAGCAGCAGCAGAAGGAGCAGGAGCAAGGUGAGCGGGCCCUGGAGCUUGCAGUCGGAGGGCCUUGGGCAAGAUCGCCUCCUCCCCUCCAGCCCUGAGUCCACCGGGUGCUUUCUGCCCACCCCCUGCUCUUGCCAGCUGGCCCCUGCUUCCCCUAGGGCACAUGCUGGAAGCCCUGGGCCGCCACCAGAGGUCCUCAGCCCUCCUGCCUGGGCUAUGGCUCCUUCCUGGUUUGGGAGCCAUAGUGGAGCUUUCCUCUCUAAGCUCACCCAGCUCAAACUGACAGGAGAAUCUUCUUCGACUGCCAAGAGCGGUCCAAGGCAAUGGUCAGCCACUGCAGCCUCCUGAGAUAUUUUUAGAGACUGGACCUGAGGCCUCUGGAGGCUACUGAUGAUGCCUGCUGUGAACGCAGACACUGGUGUGAUGCGAUGCCUGCGCCUGCAGCGGCAGUGCCCUGGGCACUAUGGUUUUGAGCUUGUACCCAGCGCUGCUUUUGCCUUGCUCUGUGACCCCAGGCAAGCUGCCUCACCUCUCUGGGCCAGUUUCCCCAUUGUACAGUGGUGCUGCACACCCUGGCCCUGGCCCCGAGGUGGCUGGGAGGUGGCUCCUCAAACAGCCGCUGUCUCAUCAGUGCCCGGUGCUGGGUCAGGGAUCGACUGAGGCUCUGAGCUAACUGGGAAACACAGUGGCCUUGGAGGGCUGGGGAGUGUCAUGGGGGUGGGGACAGGGAGUCACCGGUCGCAUGUGACUGAACUCUUCACCCCAGUCUGUGGCUUUCCCGUUGCAGUGAGAGCCACGAGCCAAGGUGGGCACUUGAUGUCGGAUCUCUUCAACAAGCUGGUCAUGAGGCGCAAGGGUAGGAGGCAGGGCCGCUGCCCGCCCUGGGCCAGCACCUUGUAAUUCUGUCCUGCCUUUUUCUUCCUGUAUUUAAGUCUCCGGGGGCUGGGGGAACCAGGGUUUCCCACCAACCACCCUCACUCAGCCUUUUCCCUCCAGGCAUCUCUGGGAAAGGACCUGGGGCUGGUGAGGGGCCCGGAGGAGCCUUUGCCCGCGUGUCAGACUCCAUCCCUCCUCUGCCGCCACCGCAGCAGCCACAGGCAGAGGAGGACGAGGACGACUGGGAAUCGUAGGGGGCUCCAUGACACCUUCCCCCCCAGACCCAGACUUGGGCCGUUGCUCUGACAUGGACACAGCCAGGACAAGCUGCUCAGACCUACUUCCUUGGGAGGGGGUGACGGAACCAGCACUGUGUGGAGACCAGCUUCAAGGAGCGGAAGGCUGGCUUGAGGCCACACAGCUGGGGCGGGGACUUCUGUCUGCCUGUGCUCCAUGGGGGGACGGCUCCACCCAGCCUGCGCCACUGUGUUCUUAAGAGGCUUCCAGAGAAAACGGCACACCAAUCAAUAAAGAACUGAGCAG
rnacentral:lncRNA from 1 species